rnacentral:lncRNA from 1 species
GUGGGGGCCGCGCUGGGGAUGGGGGCUCGUCAGCGGGGACCCUCAUCCCCAGUAGCCUGCAAGUCACCCCAAACUUUUCGCUGCCUCCUGCUCACCCCAGCCCAGCGAGGCAGCGCCGGACUACGUCUACUUCGAGAACUCGUCCAGCAACCCGUACCUGAUCCGGAGGAUCGAGGAGCUCAACAAGACGGCCAGCGGGAACGUGGAGGCCAAGGUGGUGUGCUUCUACCGCAGGCGGGACAUCUCCAGCACGCUCAUCGCCCUGGCCGACAAGCAUGCCACCUUGUCAGUCUGCCAUAAAGCCGGACCGGGCGCCGACAGCGGCGAGGAAGGUAAGAGCUGCCCUCUGUGAGGACGCAUCCUCGCGCCUGCCCCGGGCGGAACCUGCGCAGGCCGCCUGCAUGCAGCCCGGCCCCGAGGGUGUCCUGCAGCUGCAGCGGGCCCUGCUGCGGCCAUGCGGGGCCGCCUGGCCACGGGGCUGGGACACGUGGCACCUGCUGCUCACCGCGGUGCCAGCCGCCUGGCAGCUGCUCCUCUUUCCUCCUUUCCUGCUGCUUCCUCUGCCAGCGCCGGACUCCUGUCCCCACCUCCUUCCCCUGAUGCCCAGGGGAGAGCCCAGCCUUCAGGGUGCUUGGACAAGAACGGGCACU